CGUGUAGGCGGCCUUGCAAGUUGGGUGUGAAAGCCCUCGGCUUAACCGAGGAAGUGCGCCCAAAACUACAAGGCUUGAGUGCCGGAGAGGGUGGCGGAAUUCCCGGUGUAGAGGUGAAAUUCGUAGAUAUCGGGAGGAACACCAGUGGCGAAGGCGGCCACCUGGACGGUAACUGACGCUGAGACGCGAAAGCGUGGGGAGCAAACAGGAUUAGAUACCCUGGUAGUCCACGCUGUAAACGAUGAGCGCUAGGUGUUGUGGGUGUUGACCCCCGCAGUGCCGCAGCUAACGCAUUAAGCGCUCCGCCGUGGGAAGUACGGCCGCAAGGCUAAA
rnacentral:rRNA from 1 species